GUAUGAGGAUAUUUUUCACUCUCUUUAUUUCUACCAUCUUCAACUUACUUUCAAAAUUUAAAUAUGUUUUUUUUUUUAGAUUUAAACAUCUAACACCCUGUUUGAUUUAAUAUAAUAGCAUAGCCAUUACAAUUCAAUUCCAUAUGCCCACCAUAAAUCCUUGUUUGGUUGAAUGAAAGGUCUAUUACGAUGUUGCUGUUUAGUUUUCUAUUCUCACUAACCACUCAAUAAUGGCUGAAUUCAGCCUUUUUUUGCCUCACCCUCUUAAUUGCCAUUCAGAGCACGGUAGGAAUGCUGAAAGAUUAUUUUUUUUCAUUUUUGCCCUCAUUGUUUCGUCAUCAUCUCCUUUCUGCAGUUUCAACUACAGCCUCAAUGUUCACUAUUCUCUCCAUUUACAAAGCCCUAAACACCACCAUUGUCCCUCACCAACUGUCUGCAAUUCUUUUACUUUGUUUUUCAUUUUCUUCGUUCCUAAAGUUUAGUUUAGACCAAACAGCUUACAUUCCCAAAUCCGAGCUAGGGCCUGAAAACCUUGAAAAGGUUAGAAAAAGAAAAUCAAAUAAAUCAAAAGCCCUCUGGCCUCAGUACCGCCGAAACCUGUUAAUAGCCUGCUUCCCCUAAAUAUUUAGACCGUGGAACAACAAAGAUAAUUCAUUAGCUUAAUCAAAUUGGGUAUUUCUUAUGUCAACCUAAAAUGAAGGUAAAAGUUGUGUGCAGGUAGCUGUAUGACUACGUCUGAUACGAUCUCAAAAAAUAGUUUUCCUUUCUUCAUUGCCUGGUCCUCCCCACAUAAAAAAGCGCCGCAAAUUGACUUGGCACGAGCGCUACUUGAUAUGAUUUAAUAGCGAUUGCUGCAAGAGGAGGGAUGGAGACUUUGAGGCCUGCUUUACAGAGGUUCAGGGAUGACAAGGGCUUCUGCAUAUAGAGAUGCUCUUGAGAGUUUCAUAGAAGGAUAUCAAGAAGGUAUCCAGCAGAUCAGGGAGAAAAAGGAAUAUUCUUCUAAUGCACAGCAAGAAGGCAAUACUGAUAAAAAUUCAACUUGAUGGCUGAUCAGUGCAUAAUCGGAGAUGCAUGUGAGUACUUCUCCAGUAUACCUAUUGUAGAUACAAGUUUAGAGAUUUAGUGGAGCUGGGUUGGCAUGAAAUCACAAGAAUGGUACACGUCCUAAGCAUUUUCCUGUAUUGAGAAAGUGACCUUUAGAAACUACAAAUAUAAUGGGAAUCUCCAUUGACAGUGGUGAUGCACUUUCCUUGUCAUUUCAUGUUUAUUAGUUUUUGUUGUAGUCUAGUAUUCAACGUGCUUGAGCAUGGGGAAAUGUAAAAGAACCUUAAUGCUUUAUGUCUUUGUUUAGUGCAACUGAAGAAUUACUUAGAUAUCUGCUGCCAGCUGCCAGCUGCUUAAUGGAGGCAGUUUGCAUAUAAUACAUGAUUUGCGCUUUUGCAUUAAA